UCCGUAGGCGGGUCAUUAAGUCAGAGGUGAAAUCCCACAGCUUAACUGUGGAACUGCCUUAGAUACUGGUUAUCUUGAGUUUUAGUGAAGUAGAUAGAAUGUGUAGUGUAGCGGUGAAAUGCAUAGAUAUUACACAGAAUACCGAUUGCGAAGGCAGUCUACUAACUAACAACUGACGCUAAUGGACGAAAGCGUGGGGAGCGAACAGGAUUAGAUACCCUGGUAGUC
rnacentral:rRNA from 1 species